rnacentral:rRNA from 1 species
GACAUUUGGUAGAGACUGUUGAAGCCACCUGGUCCCAGCAGACCCCAGAAGGCGGCCACAUUCGCUGGUGCUGGGGCAAAGUCGUUAAGGGGUGAAGCCUGGUGCCAGAUGUGU